rnacentral:pre_miRNA from 1 species
AGCGCAGCAGAAACACAAGGGACGGAAAGAAUACACACUCGUGUAUUCUUUCCGUGUGUCCGUGUCCGUGUGUAUUCUUUCCGUCCCUUGUGUUUCUGCUGCGCU